UUCCCCUUCUUCUUCUCCCUACGUUCACAGUCGGUUUAUCGAUCCUUCCAACAAUGUUUUAAUUAUGGCACUUCUCCUUCAACCAACCACGAUAAGGAGGUUGCUUCCUUCUUAAUCGAUAACUGACCUAACCACGAUAGAGAAAAAUGUCGUAUAUAAUGAUCGGAAGAUGUUCAAUAUUUCUACGUUUCAAACAAUCGGUUGAAUUGUUUCAUUUGAUGUCAAUAGUUAUGGAAGAUGAUAUUAUAUCACCAUAAUUUGUGUGUGGUAAUGGAAGAUGAUAUCGAAAGGAUAUGCCCAAUAAUGCCUUACGCUUCCAUUCAUGAAUUCAGAAGGACUUCAACGGCAGGACAAAUUAGGUGACUUACAUGGGAAAGUGGCAUUCAAGGCUUCGAUUUGUGGGCUUGGAAUGGAAAAGAGAAAGCAUUUUCCUUCACUAGGGUGUCUUUUCUUCAAGCGUAGGUUCAAAGCUCAACAAUUUGUUUGUCCAUUCCAUUCAAAUCAAUCCAUGGGGUCAGCUUUCAAGGUGUGAGAACAUUGUCGAGCACUGAAGAGUAUUGUAGCAGAGCAAUCCUGGCAAACCCUAAAGGUGGUAAGUCUUUAAUAAUGUAUGCUGAUUUGAUAUGGGGGACACAAAAGGAUGGAAUUCGUACAGAUGGUUACUUUGAUCGCUAAACAUCUUCACAACAAUUGAAAAAAUUUACCUUCCUUUUAUGUAUUUAUUUUGAUUUGGGUGUUAUCGAUAGUUGGCUCACUUGGUUAACUAAAGAGAAGGGAUAUGUUUUUGCGAUUUUGAAUGAAGGGUAUUUUCGUCCUUUUUGGAAAAUAACAGAUUGUUGUGAUUUAUUUGUGUAUUGCUGCGAGAAGGAUAGGGACUUCAUACACAAGGAUAUCGGUUUGAAUGUAAUUCUUCAAUUCGUUGGAUUGUUAGUUGCUACGUGGUGUUCUUUUGGAAAUUGGAAUUUAAGUUAUGCUACUAUAUUAGCAAAGGGAUUGGCAAAAAGAUCAA